UACGUAGGGUGCGAGCGUUAAUCGGAAUGACUGGGCGUAAAGCGCGCGUAGGCGGAUCAGGAAGUUGGGGGUGAAAUCCCGGGGCUCAACCCCGGAAUGGCCUUCAAAACUCCUGGUCUUGAGUUCGAGAGAGGUGAGUGGAAUUCCGAGUGUAGAGGUGAAAUUCGUAGAUAUUCGGAGGAACACCAGUGGCGAAGGCGGCUCACUGGCUCGACACUGACGCUGAGGUGCGAAAGCGUGGGGAGCAAACAGG
rnacentral:rRNA from 1 species